rnacentral:rRNA from 1 species
AUGGGAACCAUUAUGCUGAGACUAGUAACAAGAAUUUAACAUUCUCCAAAAUGCAAGUAUAAACCAAAAUGGAUACUCCACUGGCUAUUAACGAAAAUGAACUAAACACAGUAACGCUACAAGAAAACUCUGAGUACUGACUCGUUAACCUUACACUAGCGCAUUACUGGAAAGAUUAAAAGGGGAAGAAGGAACUCGGCAAAUUUCAACCCCGCCUGUUUACCAAAAACAUCGCCUCUUGAGGACUAUAAGAGGUCCAGCCUGCCCAGUGACAAAGUUCAACGGCCACGGUACCCUAACCGUGCGAAGGUAGCAUAAUCACUUGUUCUUUAAAUAGGGACUAGUAUCAACGGCAUCACGAGGGUUGCACUGUCUCCCUCCCCUAAUCAGUGAAACUGAUCUCCCCGUGAAGAAGCGGGGAUACAACUAUAAGACGAGAAGACCCCAUGGAGCUUUAAACCCACAGCAACUCAGUUACAUAAUUCCUUGUAAACUUAAGAGUUAUGCACAAAGGUUUUAGGUUGGGGUGACCACGGAGUAAAAAACAACCUCCAUGACGAAAAGAACUAAAUCUUUAUCUAAGAGCUACAACUCUCAGAAUUAGUACACUAACGAACAAUGAUCCGAUAUUCGAUCAACGAACCAAGUUACCCUGGGGAUAACAGCGCAAUCUACUUCAAGAGCCCAUAUCGACAAGUAGGCUUACGACCUCGAUGUUGGAUCAGGGUAUCCAAGUGGUGCAGCCGCUACUAACGGUUCG